rnacentral:rRNA from 1 species
UACGUAGGGGGCGAGCGUUACCCGGAUUUACUGGGCGUAAAGCGCGCGUAGGUGGCUUGAUAAGCCGGUUGUGAAAGCCCCGGGCUCAACCUGGGAACGGCAUCCGGAACUGUCAAGCUAGAGUGCAGGAGAGGAAGGUAGAAUUCCCGGUGUAGCGGUGAAAUGCGUAGAGAUCGGGAGGAAUACCAGUGGCGAAGGCGGCCUUCUGGACUGACACUGACACUGAGGUGCGAAAGCGUGGGUAGCAAACAGG